rnacentral:lncRNA from 1 species
AAAUGUUCAGGCUUAGCCAGGCUAAAAAUGCCAUCAUUUUUGGCUGAAAUAGUGAAUGUGGCUUAAAAAGUGUAUGUAAAUUAAAUGCCAGAAAUGUCUGAUAAUUCACAGGAAAAUUAAGGCACUUAUAAUGACAGAGCUGUUUUAUCAGUGUGAUGAUGAGAAUUGAACCCAAGCCCAGGCAUCAAAGCAAUUCAGCAGGCUCACGUCUUCAUUUGUACUUGUUGUUCCAGUUUUCCUAAUCACAGUCACUAAGGGACUCCUCCAUGGGACACAUCAUUGUCACUUUUACAGUAAAUCCAGACAUUCUUUAGCAGUUUCUCUGUAGUUGUAAGAAAUUCUCUUGUGUGCUGAAGAGAGAUGCCCCAGUCUGAGGAUGCUCAGCCAUGCUUCUAUCCAGGAGGUACUACUGAAAGAAAGAAGUGGCUCUUUGAACAGCAAGAUGGAGAAUCUUAUGCAUUUUAUGGAAAUAGCACAGCUAUGACUUGCCAUCAGUUCAGCCAGCAGUCAAGCAAAGAAUGGAGCUCAGUUUUGCAAAGUCUGUCCAGGAAUAUAUCUACUAGAUUGCUUUACCCCUGA